rnacentral:rRNA from 1 species
UACGUAGGGUGCGAGCGUUGUCCGGAAUUAUUGGGCGUAAAGAGCUCGUAGGCGGUUUGUCGCGUCUAUCGUGAAAACUGGAGGCUUAACUUUCAGCGUGCGGUGGAUACGGGCAGACUUGAGUUCGGUAGGGGAGACUGGAAUUCCUGGUGUAGCGGUGAAAUGCGCAGAUAUUAGGAGGAAUACCGAUGGCGCAAGCAGUCAACUGGACGAUUACUGACGCUGAGAUACGAAAGCGUGGGGAGCAAACAGG